rnacentral:lncRNA from 1 species
UGCUACUGUUACUUAUGGACUAAGUUGAUGGCGGGAAAAAGGGGUGAAGUGGGUGAGGACAAUUUUACCCUUGUUUAUGGAAAGAAAAAGAUAUUUUUGUAUUUAAUUAACGAAAAAACUGACGGAAUAUGGACGGAAGGACGUCCAGCGCAAAGAAAGGUUGAAAUGAGGGCAAAAAUGCCAAAAAAUGAAAGGUAGGGACGUUUU